UACGGAGGGGGCUAGCGUUGUUCGGAUUUACUGGGCGUAAAGGGCGCGUAGGCGGCUUGUCAAGUCACUUGUGAAGUCUCUGGGCUUAACCCAGAACGGCCAAGUGAAACUGACAUGCUAGAGUGCAGAAGGGGCAAUCGGAAUUCUUGGUGUAGCGGUGAAAUGCGUAGAUAUCAAGAGGAACACCUGAGGUGAAGACGGGUUGCUGGGCUGACACUGACGCUGAUGCGCGAAAGCCAGGGGAGCAAACGGG
rnacentral:rRNA from 1 species